UACGUAGGUGGCAAGCGUUGUCCGGCAUUAUUGGGCGUAAAGCGCGCGCAGGCGGUCCUUUAAGUCUGAUGUGAAAGCCCACGGCUCAACCGUGGAGGGUCAUUGGAAACUGGGGGACUUGAGUACAGAAGAGAAGAGUGGAAUUCCACGUGUAGCGGUGAAAUGCGUAGAGAUGUGGAGGAACACCAGUGGCGAAGGCGGCGACCUGGGCAGAUACUGACGCUGAGAUGCGAAAGCGUGGGGAGCAAACAGG
rnacentral:rRNA from 1 species